UGGCCUUGUCCAUUCACCCAAACAAGGAAGCCUCGUUCUCAAGCCAUAGUCCGUAGUAUCCUAAACCCUGGUUUGGUUACAAAGUCUUGUUUGUUGUAGCGAACAAACCUUCCCCUUUCAGCAUUCAGUUUUGAGUUCACCCAUCACAGUUUUCUUCUUCUUCUUCUUCUUGUGCAUGGCAACUGAACCGAGUGAGAGCACACAAAGGAACACCCUUGUCGUUAGAAAGCCAUGUUUUGGCCUCCCAACAGGUUGCCCUCAAUGCCUCUCUGCUUACAUUUUUCUCAAGCUCUCUCAAGUUCCCUUCAACUUGGAUUACCACCCUAACUACCCUGAUUCUGAUCAGAUUCCUUACUUUGAGGAUGGUGAUUCUGUGACAUACAAUAAUGAGAAGGAGGGGAUCAUUGAGUGCUUGAAAAGGAAUGUGGGUGGUGAUUUAGAUAGUGAGGUUUCUUCUCUCCCUGAUUGGAUACCAACCAAAGUGAUGGCCACCACUUGGCUUGCUGAUGCACUUGAGUAUGAACUGUGGGUGGGAUGUGAUGGUUCCUCUGCUUAUAGCAUCUAUUAUUCUGAUCUUCCCUGGCCUAUCGGCAAGGUUCUCUUUUGGAAGAAAGCUUAUUGGGUAAAGCAGAAACAUGGGAUAAGUGAAGAGAAUGUAGAAGUAAAGGAAGAAGAGAUUUAUGGGAGAGCAAACUCUGCAUAUGAUGCUCUGUCGACUUGGUUAGGGGAACAAAACUACCUUUUUGAAAACAGGCCAUCGAGCUUGGAUGCUAUUUUUCUUGCACAUGCAUUAGUUGUUCUUCAAGCUUUACCUGAAUCAUCAAUUUUGCGGACCAAUUUUUUGGAACAUGCCAAUUUAGUGAGAUAUGUGCAACGAUGUAAGACAGAACUUAUAGUAGCUGGUACUUCUGCUUCCAAUGAUCCAUAUUUUCAUGCAGACCCAUCAUCAUCAGCUUCUAGAGGUCGUUCAACUUCAAAAAUAUAGCCACCAUUCCCAAUUCUGACCUUUGAGACAUUAGUUGGCUUCAAAUCCUUGAAUAGAGUCUUAUCAUAUGUCAUGUGGUUCGUACAACCACUAUCAAUCAACCAACAUUCAGAACUACUCCUCAUUGAAUAGCAUGUUGCAGCAAAAAUAUAAUCUUCCUCCUGCUCAACAACUUGGGCAUUGGCUUCAUGCUGCUGAAAUUUGCUUCUACAAAUUAUAGCUUCGUGUCCAAGUUGAUUGCACUUGAUGCACUUUGCGUCUGGUCGUUUCCAACAUUUGUAUGGUGGGUGACCCAAUUUUCCGCAAUGUUGACAAGCAUGAUGGUGCUUGGUUGGUAAAGCACCUUCAACUGCACAGUCUUGUCUCAUCAACCUCUGCUGCUCUUGGGACUGCAUGAUUCAUGGCUUGCAUUCCCUUGAUCCUUUCAUCUCCUUCAUAUUCAUCCUUGAGGAAAUUCCAAACUUCGAAUGCUGAUUUGAUUGUCAUGAUUCUGGUGAAAAUGUCUUGUGAAACAGGAGCAAAUAAGGUUCAAAGCCCAAGACUAAACCCAAAAGGCAGCCGCCAACAAAGGAGGAGAAAACCUUGAGAAGAAGGGCUAAAUAUUUUGUGGUAGCACAGCUAGUUGCUGUUGUUCUUUUCGUCAGUGUCUUGUCUG